AACAAUCUUCAAUUGCCAUUUUCGACCAUAAAAUUUUCCAUUUGCGUGCUUAGUUCCUUGAUUUCAUCUUCAACAUUUGCUUAGUUCUCAUCAAAGAAAAACAAUGAUGUUGAAGAAGACAACAAAAUUGGGCUUAAAGAAGGAACGGUUUAAAAAAUGAAAAAGAUAAGUGAUGGUGUUGUCUUGGCUUCUGUAUUCACAAGGAAGAUAAAAAAAGAUUCUAACUAAGGAUCAUAAUGACAACCCUCAACAAUCAAAGGUGGCUGAUCAAGUACCCAAACAAAGGGUUUAUAGUAACUGAAAUUAUAAUAUUAUAUAUUUAAAUUUAUUAUAUUGUAUAUUUGGGUUUAUAAUAGCGGUAU